AAAGAAUCUUAAAAUCGGCCAGAGAGAGACAAAAAUUACAUACAAAGGAUCCCCUAUCAGACUAGCGACUGAUAACUCAACAGAAACACAUCAGGCCAGAAGGGAGUGGAUUGAAAUAUACAAA